ACGGGAGGCAGCAGUGGGGGAUAUUGCACAAUGGGGGAAACCCUGAUGCAGCAACGCCGCGUGAAGGAAGACGGUUUUCGGAUUGUAAACUUCUGUUCUUAGUGACGAUAAUGACGGUAGCUAAGGAGAAAGCUCCGGCUAACUACGUGCCAGCAGCCGCGGUAAUACGUAGGGAGCGAGCGUUGUCCGGAAUUACUGGGUGUAAAGGGAGCGUAGGCGGGAGAUCAAGUCAGAUGUGAAAACUACGGGCUCAACCCGUAACCUGCAUUUGAAACUGGUUUUCUUGAGUGAAGUAGAGGCAGGCGGAAUUCCGAGUGUAGCGGUGAAAUGCGUAGAUAUUCGGAGGAACACCAGUGGCGAAGGCGGCCUGCUGGGCUUUUACUGACGCUGAGGCUCGAAAGCAUGGGGAGCAAACAGGAUUAGAUACCCUGGUA
rnacentral:rRNA from 1 species